UGCAAGUCGAGGGGUAUAUGUCUUCGGAUAUAGAGACCGGCGCACGGGUGCGUAACGCGUAUGCAAUCUACCUUUUACAGAGGGAUAGCCCAGAGAAAUUUGGAUUAAUACCUCAUAGCAUAGCAGCUUCGCAUGAAGCAGCUAUUAAAGUCACAACGGUAAAAGAUGAGCAUGCGUCCCAUUAGCUAGUUGGUAAGGUAACGGCUUACCAAGGCUACGAUGGGUAGGGGUCCUGAGAGGGAGAUCCCCCACACUGGUACUGAGACACGGACCAGACUCCUACGGGAGGCAGCAGUGAGGAAUAUUGGACAAUGGGCGCAAGCCUGAUCCAGCCAUGCCGCGUGCAGGAUGACGGUCCUAUGGAUUGUAAACUGCUUUUGUACGAGAAGAAACACUCCUUCGUGAAGGAGCUUGACGGUAUCGUAAGAAUAAGGAUCGGCUAACUCCGUGCCAGCAGCCGCGGUAAUACGGAGGAUCCAAGCGUUAUCCGGAAUCAUUGGGUUUAAAGGGUCCGUAGGCGGUUUAGUAAGUCAGUGGUGAAAGCCCAUCGCUCAACGGUGGAACGGCCAUUGAUACUGCUAAACUUGAAUUAUUAGGAAGUAACUAGAAUAUGUAGUGUAGCGGUGAAAUGCUUAGAGAUUACAUGGAAUACCAAUUGCGAAGGCAGGUUACUACUAAUGGAUUGACGCUGAUGGACGAAAGCGUGGGUAGCGAACAGGAUUAGAUACCCUGGUAGUCCACGCCGUAAACGAUGGAUACUAGCUGUUGGAAGCAAUUUCAGUGGCUAAGCGAAAGUGAUAAGU
rnacentral:rRNA from 1 species